UACGGGGGGAGCAAGCGUUGUUCGGAUUUACUGGGCGUAAAGGGCGCGUAGGCGGUCAGCACAAGUCAGUUGUGGAAAUCUCCGGGCUUAACCCGGAAAGGUCAACUGAUACUGUGCGACUAGAGUGCGGAAGGGCAACUGGAAUUCUCGGUGUAGCGGUGAAAUGCGUAGAUAUCGGGAGGAACACCAGUGGCGAAGGCGACUACCUGGCCUGUUCUUGACGCUGAGGCGCGAAAGCUAGGGGAGCAAACGGG
rnacentral:rRNA from 1 species